rnacentral:misc_RNA from 1 species
UCCUGGUGAUAUAUUGUGAUCUUUGGUCAUGGAAAAGAAAUACUCUUCUCCUAUUUUUACUAAUCCACGGUGCCUGCAAACUGAUAGAAGAGCAAGGAAAGUGACUUCAUCAGGUUGGAAACCUUGCUCUGUCAUCUGACUGAAAAGCUGAAUAGCUUCAUUUUCAUACCCAUGGAGAGCAUAACCAGCUAUCAUACUAUUAUAAAGGA